rnacentral:rRNA from 1 species
GAUCCAGACUCCUACGGGAGGCAGCAGUGGGGAAUAUUGCACAAUGGGGGAAACCCUGAUGCAGCAACGCCGCGUGAGUGAAGAAGUAUUUCGGUAUGUAAAGCUCUAUCAGCAGGGAAGAAAAUGACAGUACCUGACUAAGAAGCCCCGGCUAACUACGUGCCAGCAGCCGCGGUAAUACGUAGGGGGCAAGCGUUAUCCGGAUUUACUGGGUGUAAAGGGAGCGUAGACGGCUGCGCAAGUCAGAAGUGAAAGCCCGGGGCUCAACCGCGGGACUGCUUUUGAAACUGUGUAGCUAGAGUGCAGGAGAGGUAAGUGGAAUUCCUAGUGUAGCGGUGAAAUGCGUAGAUAUUAGGAGGAACAUCAGUGGCGAAGGCGACUAUCUGGCACAUAACUGACGCUGAGGAGCGAAAGCGUGGGUAGCAAACAGGAUUAGAUACCCUCGUAC